rnacentral:rRNA from 1 species
GAUGAACGCUGGCGGCGUGCCUAAUACAUGCAAGUCGAGCGAACGGACGAGAAGCUUGCUUCUCUGAUGUUAGCGGCGGACGGGUGAGUAACACGUGGAUAACCUACCUAUAAGACUGGGAUAACUUCGGGAAACCGGAGCUAAUACCGGAUAAUAUUUUGAACCGCAUGGUUCAAAAGUGAAAGACGGUCUUGCUGUCACUUAUAGAUGGAUCCGCGCUGCAUUAGCUAGUUGGUAAGGUAACGGCUUACCAAGGCAACGAUGCAUAGCCGACCUGAGAGGGUGAUCGGCCACACUGGAACUGAGACACGGUCCAGACUCCUACGGGAGGCAGCAACAGGGAAUCUUCCGCAAUGGGCGAAAGCCUGACGGAGCAACGCCGCGUGAGUGAUGAAGGUCUUCGGAUCGUAAAACUCUGUUAUUAGGGAAGAACAUAUGUGUAAGUAACUGUGCACAUCUUGACGGUACCUAAUCAGAAAGCCACGGCUAACUACGUG